AACACUUCAGUUUUUAUUUUCUUUUCUAACUUCUAACCCUAACUUCCCCUAACUCGCUACUUGCCUCCAAGGCUCCAAUGUCCCUCACUCUCACUGUCUCGGCGACACCUCCUGCCUUCCUCACUCUCUCAGGCGACGCCCACCGCCCAGGCGCCCAAGGCUUGCUACAUCAGCCACUCAGCCAGAUAGCCACCGCGCGAAUCUCCGACUUGCCCAGGGCUAACAAGGGAGUGAAGGAACCACGAAUUCUUAUUCUUGCAAUGUAAUGUUAUGAGUUUUCGUGGAUUCAUUUGUAUUUUCGGUGGACUCAUUUGUAUUUUUGGUGUUUGUGAAUUGGGAAUUUAUAGACGUUAUGUAGUUUUGUGAUUGAUAAUUUUGGUUUGUAUGUAA